rnacentral:rRNA from 1 species
GAGUUUGAUCCUGGCUCAGAUUGAACGCUGGCGGCAUGCCUAACACAUGCAAGUCGAACGGCAGCGCGGGGGCAACCCUGGCGGCGAGUGGCGGACGGGUGAGGAAUGCAUCGGAAUCUGCCCGGUUGUGGGGGAUAACUCACCGAAAGGUGAGCUAAUACCGCAUAGGACCGAGAGGUGAAAGCGGGGGACCGAAAGGCCUCGCGCGAUCGGAUGAGCCGAUGCCGGAUUAGCUAGUUGGUAGGGUAAAGGCCUACCAAGGCGACGAUCCGUAGCUGGUCUGAGAGGAUGAUCAGCCACACUGGGACUGAGACACGGCCCAGACUCCUACGGGAGGCAGCAGUGGGGAAUAUUGGACAAUGGGCGCAAGCCUGAUCCAGCAAUGCCGCGUGUGUGAAGAAGGCCUCGGUUGUAAG